AACGAACGCUGGCGGCAGGCCUAACACAUGCAAGUCGAGCGAGACCUUCGGGUCUAGCGGCGGACGGGUUAGUAACGCGUGGGAACGUGCCCUUCUCUGCGGAAUAGCCACUGGAAACGGUGAGUAAUACCGCAUACGCCCUUCGGGGGAAAGAUUUAUCGGAGAAGGAUCGGCCCGCGUUAGAUUAGAUAGUUGGUGGGUAACGGCCUACCAAGUCUACGAUCUAUAGCUGGUUUUAGAGGAUGAUCAGCAACACUGGGACUGAGACACGGCCCAGACUCCUACGGGAGGCAGCAGUGGGGAAUCUUAGACAAUGGGCGCAAGCCUGAUCUAGCCAUGCCGCGUGUGUGAUGAAGGUCUUAGGAUCGUAAAGCACUCUCGCCAGGGAUGAUAAUGACAGUACCUGGUAAAGAAACCCCGGCUAACUCCGUG
rnacentral:rRNA from 1 species